rnacentral:tRNA from 1 species
UGCAUCUGCCGGGAAUCGAACCCGGGCCGCCCGCUUGGCAGGCGAGCAUUCUACCACUGAACCACC